rnacentral:tRNA from 1 species
GCCGAAAUAGCUCAGUGGUAGAGCAACUGAUUCGUAAUCAGUAGGUCCGCGGUUCAAAUCCGCGUUUCGGCACCA